CAAGGUAGAACUCAGUGGUGCAGCCAUCACUAUGAGUACCAAAACAUUGAUAAUUAAGUUAUUUUUUACACACUUAUCACAAAUAUAGACUAUCGGAAUAUGGCAAGCAUCACCUGUUGAUAUAGCAUGUUUAAAUGUAAUUCAGAGUUAAUAAGGUUAACCUCACCAUAUGAGUAAUAGCUUUAAGAAUAAUCAAUGGGUUUUAUAUUUUAUUUAAGUAUUUUAGGUUGCUUGGUAUGUUCACUAAUUUAUAUUUUUUAGGCCACAAAGGAUUACUACACUAGU
rnacentral:misc_RNA from 1 species